UACGUAGGGGGCGAGCGUUGUCCGGAUUUAUUGGGCGUAAAGAGCGUGUAGGCGGCCAGGUAGGUCUGCUGUGAAAACUCGAGGCUCAACCUCGAGACGUCGGCGGAAACCAUCUGGCUAGAGUCCGGAAGAGGAGAGUGGAAUUCCUGGUGUAGCGGUGAAAUGCGCAGAUAUCGGGAAGAACACCUAUGGCGAAGGCAGCUCUCUGGGACGGUACUGACGCUGAGGAACGAAAGCGUGGGGAGCGAACAGG
rnacentral:rRNA from 1 species